rnacentral:rRNA from 1 species
ACAACUUUCAGCAACGGAUCUCUUGGCUCUCGCAUCGAUGAAGAACGCAGCGAAAUGCGAUCCGUAAUGUGAAUUGCAGGAAUUCAGUCGAAUCAUCGAAUCUUUGAACGCACCUUGCGCUCCUUGGUAUUCCGAGGAGCAUGCCUGUUUGAGUGUCAUGAA